GACGUAGGGGGCGAGCGUUGUCCGGAUUUAUUGGGCGUAAAGAGCUCGUAGGCGGUCUGUUGCGUCGGUUGUGAAAACCUGGGGCUCAACUCCAGGCCUGCAAUCGAUACGGGCAGACUAGAGUUCGGUAGGGGAGACUGGAAUUCCUGGUGUAGCGGUGAAAUGCGCAGAUAUCAGGAGGAACACCGGUGGCGAAGGCGGGUCUCUGGGCCGAAACUGACGCUGAGGAGCGAAAGCGUGGGGAGCGAACAGG
rnacentral:rRNA from 1 species